UCAUUUCAACCCUCAAGCUUUGCUUGGUAUUGGUGGUAGGCUGCAUGGCCUCCCCCGAAAAAUAGCGGCGGAUAGUUUGGAUUCCCAGCGCAGUGACUUUUUAUACACGCUGAACAGGAUCCCCAGGCUCUCUCGCCGGACAACAAACAAUUUUUCUUAUGGUUGACCUCGGAUCAGGUAGGGAUACCCGCUGAACUUAA
rnacentral:misc_RNA from 1 species